AGUAUACUCCUACGAAAAGGUUUGAUGUUUUGAGUAGUUGGACUAUUUUUCUCCUAGUGCUUCAGUAAUGUCCUUUGAUGCUGUUAGUAGAGUUUGAUUGACUUUUAAACAAUUGAGUGGCAUUUUGAGUACUCCGGUUAAUGUUUUAAUAUCGGUCCAAAUUCUUUUUGGGACGCUGCUGGCGUUAUACGAGAUGUAAAAUCGGGGAGAGUGAUGUUUUUUUUGCUAGUUUAGCAUCUCUUUUAAAUUGAGCCUUUUCUCGCGGAGUUUGUUUAGUGGUAUUCCUUUGGUUUGUGGUAUGGAUAUACUUGCUGCUGCGGGAAUCGCUUUGGUUAAUUUGGAAACACCUUGGUGAAUGUUGCAAUAUCUAAAGUCUUUUACAUUAGUUGAUAACCUUUUUUGAAAUUUCGUCCAGUAAACAAUGUCUGUUUUAUAUUUAGGAAUAUGUGUGACUUUCUCGGUGUUUAAUUUUGUAAUUAUGGUAGUGGAUAUCGGGAAGUAAUCGCUUCCAUGUAAGUGAACAUGCUGCGUGUUCCUCUCCGCAGUUUGCGCACUGGGAUCGAAAGCAAUCGCUUGACGAAUGUGGUGGGACGUGACGAUUUGUUUUUUAUACACCUGCAAAAAUGGACUCUAAUAUAUUUAAACCAUACACCCAUAGGGUGAAAUGGUAUAUUUUUAAUUCUUAUCUGUAUUUUAGCUUAUACUUUUUCGUCGACUGCUGGUUAGUU